GGACCUGCUGAUCCUGAAAUUGCCCGGCAUUUACGCCCUGGAACUCUCAGAGCAAUCUUUGGUAAAACUAAGAUCCAGAAUGCUGUUCACUGUACUGAUCUGCCAGAGGAUGGCCUAUUAGAGGUAAGAUAAAGAAGGUUCAAUACUUCUUCAAGAUCUUGGAUAAUUAGUGGUGUGGAAAGUAAAGAAGUCACAGGUUGGGACAUUUAGACAAGAGUGAAUCACACACGAGGAAUGUGUUCAUUCUUUUAUUGUCCGUUGUUUUAACCUGACUGAAUACAAGAUCAACAAGAGCACUGUACUCCUGGCAAUUAUUACAUAUGUUAGAACAUGGAUUUUGCACUGUAGACAACAUUUAACACCAGUCUAUGGGGUACUGCAUUGCUUUUUAUAAAGUUCAAAAUAAAGAUUUAUUUUCAAACAA
rnacentral:lncRNA from 1 species